rnacentral:rRNA from 1 species
AAUAUUUGACAAUGGGGGCAACCCUGAUCCAGCCAUGCCGCCUGUGUGAAGAAGGUCUUCGGAUUGUAAAGCACUUUAAGUUGGGAGGAAGGGCUUUCGGUUAAUACCCUGAAGUUUUGACGUUACUCACAGAAUAAGCACCGGCUAACUCUGUCCCUGCAGCCGCGGUAAUACAGAGGGUGCAAGCGUUAAUCGGAAUUACUGGGCGUAAAGCGCGCGUAGGUGGUUCAGUAAGAUGGGUGUGAAAUCCCCGGGCUUAACCUGGGAACGGCUUUCACAACUGCUGAGCUAGAGUACGGUAGAGGGUAGUGGAAUUUCCUGUGUAGCGGUGAAAUGCGUAGAUAUAGGAAGGAACACCAGUGGCGAAGGCGACUACCUGGACUGAUACUGACACUGAGGUGCGAAAGCGUGGGGAGCAAAC